rnacentral:rRNA from 1 species
UACGUAGGUGGCAAGCGUUGUCCGGAAUUAUUGGGCGUAAAGCGCGCGCAGGCGGUCCUUUAAGUCUGAUGUGAAAGCCCACGGCUCAACCGUGGAGGGUCAUUGGAAACUGGGGAACUUGAGUGCAGAAGAGGAAAGCGGAAUUCCACGUGUAGCGGUGAAAUGCGUAGAGAUGUGGAGGAACACCAGUGGCGAAGGCGGCUUUCUGGUCUGUAACUGACGCUGAGGCGCGAAAGCGUGGGGAGCAAACAGG